AUUGAACGCUGGCGGCAGGCCUAACACAUGCAAGUCGAACGAGUGGCGGACGGGUGAGUAAUGUCUGGGAAACUGCCUGAUGGAGGGAGAUAACUACUGUAAACGGUAGCUAAUACCGCAUACCAUCGGAUGUGCCCAGAUGGGAUUAGCUAGGAGGUGGGGUAACGGCUCACCUAGGCGACGAUCCCGAGCGGGUCUGAGAGGAUGCCCAACAACACUGGAACUGAGACGCGGUCCAGUCUCCUACGGGACGCAGCAGGGGAGAAUAUGGCACAAUGGGCGCAAGCCUGAUGCAGCCAUGCCGCUUGUAUGAAGAAGGCCUUCGGGUUGUAAAGUACUGUCAGCGGGGAGGCGUUACCCGCAGAAGAAGCACCGGCUAACUCCGUGCCAGCAGCCGCGGUAAUUC
rnacentral:rRNA from 1 species